GCGGCCGCGCGCACAGCUCUGAGGCGGAGAGCUUACAUAGCAGCCCCCACCUCGCCUCACCGCCGCUCCAGUCCGCGUGGGCCCGCGUUACCCGCAGUGAUGCGGUGUCUGCCGGUCAGCGUUAGGGUUUGGGACUCUUUCGGGGGUGUCCCCAAUCGUCAGCCACCUCUGAGGGGAGUGGGAAGAGGUUUGGGCUCUUGGGGGGCAUCUGGGAGACGUCACAGCUGUCAGUGAGACCUUGCUGAAGAGUCGGACCCCUUCUUCCUUAUAGCCGCCGUUAGAUACUGAAGCACCCCUACAAAAUGGCGGCAGGUAUGGGAUGGCCCUUCACUGUGUGAAGACACCCUGCACCACAUCUCCACUGGGCCAACCACACCUCCAGCUCUUUGAGAAACCGAGCUCAAAGGCUGAUGAAGCAGCAUGACAGGUCGGACCGCUUCUGGGCCUGUCACCUCCGGGUCAUGCCUGAACACAGCCAGCUCCGUGGGGGAACGUGCUCAGCUUGCUCCAAGCAUGGGUUGGUGUUUCUGGCAGAACCUAUGAGUCAGCCUGGCAGUAUGACCCAGCUGCUCUUUGUCUUUAGCUCUCAGAGCAGGAUCUGGCUCUAUAGGUCGGUGUUUGCUUCAACUCUUUAAUUAAUGUUUGCAGUAACUUGGUAUAACCAUAAUGUGCUGCCCUUCUGCUGCUGUCAGCAUCCCAGCAGUGGGAAUUCAGGUGGCUUCGGCACGAGGUGUGUGCAGGGAGGAGGUAGCUGGUCCAGGGGACACCACCAGCCUUGGGGAUGCUGCCCCAGUGAUCUCCCUGCAGGACACCCCUGAUGUCCCAGACAUCCAGCCCCAGGGUGAUGAGCUUUGGGACCUCCAUCAAGCUUGUUUUCUCUCCUGCCCUGGACCUUCCUACUCCCUUUGCUCUCCGUCCACUGGGUAGCACUUGGGAUUAAAGAUGAAAACCCUACAAUUCCACACCAAGGAUCAGAGCUAUUUCAGGGCACGUUUCAGCCAGAGUCAUGUGUCAAAUCAGUUAUCCUGCAAUGGCACUCACACCGUUUCAGGUCUAGGGAAGCCUGAGUUUCUGCAGCCUGGUCCUAUCCAAUUUCCCAGUGCCCACGGAGGGACAGUGAAUAAUUUAUCUCCCAUCCUCCAUGUCCCUUCCUGUUCAGGUUUCAUCUCUGCUUCACCUCUGUGCUGAUGCUUCUGUGCAACAGCAGAGCCAGCGUCAGCAGUACAUGGAGCAAGAGAAAUAACGUGUGAACAGCAUGAGUGAUAAGAUCUCCAGACAGGUCCCACAGUAAGCCUUAUUUUUAGUUCCUCUUCUGAGGCAUAACUUUAGCACUUAUGCUAUUGAUAUUGUCUAUUAUUAAUUCAGCAGUAGCACAGAGAGGCCCUAAUUGAAUUUGGAGCUGUGUUGUACCGAGCGCCAUGGAAAUACACAGUGGGACGCAGCUCCUGGAGUACACACAAUCUGCUUGAGAACGUGUCCCUGCGAGAAGGAAUUUAUUUGAUCUCCUUUGAUGUUUUGAGAUACGCAAAUAAGCAAAACGAGUGCCAAUGUUAGCAGGAAAACCUAUUUUAUCUUAUGAAUUUUUAAAUAACAUGUUUCCAUUUCUUUGUUGUUCCUAUGUUUAUUCACAUUGCCUAACAUCCUUUUUUUGAAGUGCAAUGAAGAUUUGUCAAGCACUGUUUGAGUUACAGAUUAUUAGGAGAGUCAUUUAUGAAGUUGCAGGUGUUUUACUCUAUACUUCCCUUUACUUUUUUGUUUUUUUUUUAAUGAAAAUAUAACAUUGUCUGUUAUUGCCUGUAUGUGUAUACAGACAUUUUCAAUAAAUCCAGCAAGGUAUUUAAUAUGUGGGUUUUUUCAUGGUUCUGUCACAGAAGCUUCAUUUCAGGAAAGACUUAUUUGCUUCAGUGCAUUUUCUUUUACCUAAGGCACUCUGCAUUGACUGCCCUGUAUACUCAGUGCUGUGGAAGAAAACCAAACGCAUCCGAAACUAAUUCAUAAAAUUCAGCCAAUUCAGAUUUCCAAGCUGGCUCAGCAAACUUCGUUAUGUUGUGACAACCGUGGGUAGCUUUGCGUAAAGCCGCCAGCAGCACAGCCCGCCUCUGCCUCGGGCUUUCCAUUCUCAUGGAAGCUGGUGGGCAAGUUACAAACCACCAACACCAGCAAAGCUCCCGCUGCUCCCUGCCUCACAUUCUCCUGCAUUUCAUAGAAUCAUGAAGGUUGGAAAAUAGCUCUAAGAUCAGCUGAUCCAACCGCCAGCC